rnacentral:rRNA from 1 species
CAGCAGCCGCCGCGGUAAUACGUAGGUGGCAAGCGUUGUCCGGAAUUAUUGGGCGUAAAGGGCUCGCAGGCGGUUUCUUAAGUCUGAUGUGAAAGCCCCCGGCUCAACCGGGGAGGGUCAUUGGGAACUGGGAAACUUGAGUGCAGAAGAGGAGAGUGGAAUUCCACGUGUAGCGGUGAAGUGCGUAGAGAUGUGGAGGAACACCAGUGGCGAAGGCGACUCUCUGGUCUGUAACUGACGCUGAGGAGCGAAAGCGUGGGGAGCGAACAGGAUUAGAUACCCCCGUAGUCCCUGUCUCUUAUAC